ACCCCCUACGUGACACCUCUUCCAGCAGAGAGAGAGAGACAGUGGAAAGCAAGGGGCCGGUCACGGUGGUUUCGUGGCACUAACGACCGUCAUUUUGACGCGUAAGCCGGUUCCAUUUCAUAGUCUGAAGGCAGGGAAGCCACAGGUGGUGGUGGUUUGUGCAUCCGAGGGGCGGUGAUUGGGUCCAAUGGCGUUACAGCUCGCAUGCCGGCGUCCCCGGUACUCAACAUCGACGACAGCAACUUUGAUGAAUUGGGUGGCGGUAGUUCAAGAUGUGGAUUAGGUUUUUCGGUGGCCAUUGGUGACGGCGAACAGGUUUCGUGACGAUACACGAGUGGAGAACCACGAGGGAUGUUAGAUCGGAGGUUUGCAUAGCUAGCCAGUGACGGCGCUCAAGUGCCUACGGUUCCGAUCAAGUUCUGGCAACUUUUCGGUGUAGUUUCACACUUGGAUGUUGGCAAAGGGCUGUGACAAACUGCGGCAAAUAGUAAGGAUGCAAAUACACGAGGAUCUUGAUGUGAGGUGAGAUCGCUCUUAUUAAUGUUGCAAGGCAAGGGCAUAUCUCCAAUGCUAAUACCUCAUUGAACACGUACUGAAACUGAUGAUGACAUUACUUCUUUGUUCUUAGCUGUAGUUGCAGACUCACUCCAAUGUUUGGAGCUAUUAACAUAGGUACACCAAUAUCUCUACUAUUAGAAAGGGUUCUUUACAAACAAGAAUAUAAGCAAUCUGACCUUGAAUUUUUUAUUUAUUUUUAUUUAUUUAUUUAUUUAUGUUUUUGCUAUGAGUAUUUCUGUUUUGUUUAGAUUUUUUUAUUACUUACUAAUCUAUGAAGAAAGUGAAUGCAACUCGAUUUGUGAAAUUGCCAAGGCAAUUAUGUUAUCUGCAGCCUCAUUCAUUCGGAUCAUGUUUCAUCUCUAACGGGUCAAACGGAUGAUGUUUUAAAAAUAUCGUAAAGAAACCUUUUUAUGGGCCUUAUGGUACUACAUGUUGAAAGGCGCUGAUAGUGUGUCUUUAAUAAUGGUAAAACUUGAUUAUUAUGAAGUGAUUAAGUUUUUUAAGAAAAUUUGGUGCAUUGAUUAUCUAUAGAACACUUCAAACAUUUUAAGCCAACCCAAACCUUACCAAAAUCAUCUACUCUAAAACCUUCAUAAUAUUACUAAAUAUUUAGAAAGUGUAGUGGUUGGACGAUGUCAUUCUUGGAAUCCCAACAAUUUGGCAUAUAUUGGGCUUUGUCUUUUUUGGGUUCACCAGGUGUGUUGCCGUUCACGGCCCUAGACGUAGGUGUGUACGGGUUCAACUCACUAAAUAGAUGGAAUUCACAGCUCUAAAAUUGUUUGUGCAGGAAGGCGCAAAAGUUCAAUCACGGGGACUAAUACAACCAAGCUUUAGGCCGGUCAAUUGUUUGUGUCUUUAGCUCUUGCUUUUAUAUGUCUAUUUUUAUUAUUAACUCAGAUAUAUAACCAAAAAGGAGAGUAACGUCUUUCAAAAUA